GAUGAACGCUGGCGGCGUGCCUAAUACAUGCAAGUCGAGCGAACAGACGAGGAGCUUGCUCCUCUGACGUUAGCGGCGGACGGGUGAGUAACACGUGGAUAACCUACCUAUAAGACUGGGAUAACUUCGGGAAACCGGAGCUAAUACCGGAUAAUAUAUUGAACCGCAUGGUUCAAUAGUGAAAGACGGCUUUGCUGUCACUUAUAGAUGGAUCCGCGCCGCAUUAGCUAGUUGGUAAGGUAACGGCUUACCAAGGCAACGAUGCGUAGCCGACCUGAGAGGGGGGUCGGCCACACUAGAACUGAGACACGGUCCAGGCUCCUACGGGAGGCAGCAGUAGGGAAUCUUCCGCAAUGGGCGAAAGCCUGACGGAGCAACGCCGCGUGAGUGAUGGAGGUCUUCGGAUCGUAAAACUCUGUUAUUAGGGAAGAACAAAUGUGUAAGUAACUAUGCACGUCUUGACGGUACCUAAUCAGAAAGCCACGGCUAACUACGUG
rnacentral:rRNA from 1 species